AUUGAACGCUGGCGGCAGGCCUAACACAUGCAAGUCGAACGGCAGCACAGAAGAGCUUGCUCUUUGGGUGGCGAGUGGCGGACGGGUGAGUAAUGUCUGGGAAACUGCCCGAUGGAGGGGGAUCACUACUGGAAACGGUAGCUAAUACCGCAUAACGUCGCAAGACCAAAGUGGGGGACCUUCGGGCCUCACACCAUCGGAUGUGCCCAGAUGGGAUUAGCUAGUAGGUGGGGUAAUGGCUCACCUAGGCGACGAUCCCUAGCUGGUCUGAGAGGAUGACCAGGCACACUGGAACUGAGGCACGGUCCAGACUCCUACGGGAGGCAGGAGUUGGGAAUAUUGCGCAAUGGGCGGAAGCCUGACGCAGCCAUGCCGGGUGUAUGAAGAAGGCCUUCGGGUUGUAAAGUACUUUCAGCGGGGAGGAAGGCGGUGAGGUUAAUAACCUUGCCGAUUGACGUUACCCGCAGAAGAAGCACCGGCUAACUCCGUGCCAGCAGCCGCCGCGG
rnacentral:rRNA from 1 species